UAUUAGCUCAGCUGGUUAGAGCACACCCCUGAUAAGGGUGAGGUCUCUGGUUCAAGUCCA
rnacentral:tRNA from 2 species